UUAUUGCUGGUAUUUAGAAACACAUCUGAUUUUUGCGUGUUGAUCUUGUACUCUGCAACUUCGCUGAAUUUAUUAGUUUCUACUUGGUGUAUUCUAUAUACUGGAUGGUGUCAUCUGCAAUAGUUUUAGCUCUUUCUAGUUUGGAUGCCUUUUAUUCACUUUUCUUUUCUGAUAGCUCUGGUUAGAACUUCCAGUAGAAUGUUGAAUAGCAGCAGUGAAAGUGGGUAUUCUUGUUUUUGUUCCUUAUCUUAGGUGGACAGUUUUCAGUCCCUUACCAUUGAUUAUAAUGUUAGCUGUGGGUUUUUGUAAAUAUUUUUUAAUAUGUUGAGGGAUUUUCCAUUUCCAGACUUCUGGAAGUUUUUUAUCAUGAAAGUGUUUGAUUUUGUCAAAUGCCUUUUCUGCAUCAAUUGGGAUAAUCAUGUGGUUUUUUUCCCUUGUUCUAUUAAUGUGACACAUUACAUUGAUUAAUAUUCUUAUGUUGAACGACUCUUACAUUUCAGGAAUAAAUGCUGCUUGGUCAUGGUAAGUAAUGAUUUUAAAAUGCUAUUGGAUUCAAUUUACUAAUAUUUUGUUGAGGAUUUUUGCAUCUAUCUUCAUAAGGGCUAUUGAUCUGUGAUUUACUUUUCUUGUGGUAUUUUUUUUUCUGGCUUUGAUAUAAAUUAAUGCUGGACUCAUAAAAUGAGGUAGGAAGUGUUCCCUCCUUGUCAAUGAUUUGGAAGAGCUUGAGAAGGAUUGAUAUUAAUUCUUCUUUAAAUGUUUGGUAGAAUUCUUUUGUGAAGCCACCUGGUCCAGGACUUCUCUUUGCUGAUUCUUCUCAAAAUAUAUUGGCUACUUGAGAGAUGUCAUUACACUCCUGUGAUUUAUACAGAAGCAUACUGUCUUGUCCACUCUGACUGGCGGGCUUCCCCAUCAAGAAGUCUCUUAGUGAAACUCCAUGCCGCUCAGGUGGAUUCAAGAUUCAGAGAGUUAAUGUUUUUCAUGAUGGAGUUCUAUCCAGAGAGGUGGAUGUGGAUCACACUACAUUGCAUUGUUUUUCCUGGAAGUUUCUUUCUCUUGUUAUUCUUUUCCUUUUAAGCCAUGCUAUGAUGAAAAAUAACAGACUGUUAUCAAAGAAGGGUAGUAUACUCUUAAAUACUUUAAGUGGCAAAACGAUUUUUUUUUUUUUUUUUUUUUUUUUUUUGCUAAAACAGUAAUACGUGCCAUAACCUCGUGGUGGUGGAAAUAAUUUACACUAGGUUUAUCAUCUGGAUGAUCUAUGAAAAGGAUUCUUUCACACAGGUUAUAUGAUGUAGCAGAGGAAGCAUUUGGUCUGCGUCAGUUGUGGAAAGCGAGUAUCUGUAUGGUUUGGGGAAUCCCUCUCUGUCUCAGGGUCCCCAUUUGUUCAUUAGGUGACCAGACUACAGAAGAGGCCACAGUCAUUUUUUGGUAAUGACUUUCCUUCAUCAUCCUCCUUCUCCUGUUCCCUCCCCACUCCUGCUCUCCUCCUUCUCCUCUUCUUCUUCCUCACCUAAUCUCCUUCAUCUAAAGUCCGCAGUUAAGUCCCCAGACAGACAAUGAAGGAGGGCUCUAGGGUGUAGGGUGGUGAAAGGCAGGGUCAUCUAGGAGUAAAUAGAGGGAAGGAGCAGCACCCAUCACUUUGGCCAAGUUGUAGUUCCUCCUUCAAUUAUGGACAAAUCUUUUAGGUGGUAUCCUGGCCAUGGCCAGCAGACCCGAGACCUGCCUGUCCUUCUUGAUCUACUCUUUGCAAAUCCUUUCAUCAGAUAGCUUUGGGGGAGUCCUUCCAGUUUUAAUAGACUAAAAUUUAUGUACUUAUUUGUGGGGCAAAUGUAUCUCAGCUGCCUACCUGAAGUCCCCACCUUUUUUCUUCUACUGGGAAAGUUCAAGGAAAUGUAAUGGUUUUUCCAGAAACUGUUUGUGCCGGUUGUUCUGUUUACCCUCAUGUUCCAUUCCAUGAGGGAUGAGAAUGGCCAUAGAGCCUAAUUUAUAAACCGCAUAUCCUAUGCAUCCCUUAUGUAAAAUUAUUCUAGCCCACAAAUCUUAAAAAAAGAAUGUUAAUGCAUCCCAUCCAGAGGACCAGCUGAAGCACACACACACACACAAAUGCUUAGACCAAAGAGCUGUGUCACUCAAAUUUCUUGUUAUCAGGAUGAGAUGAGGCAACUGUGUUUUCCUAUGAAAGAUGCCAGUAUUUCCUAAAUCCUCAUAUAUUUUGUUGGGAAUUACAUUAUUUUAUAAUGCCUCUUACUAGAAUUUAGUUUUAUCUCAAACACAUGGUUCAGAAAUAUUGGCUUAAACUUCCAAGAAGAGAGUGUCAUUUUCAUGAAUGUGAGAUGUUGUAGUUGUGGGUAUCUAUAGGAAAACAACGAGCUAGUCUAGUUAGUAAAUACUAUUGAUUGGCUAUUAGAGGACAUCUGUGGCUACUUUCCCAAGUUCUGUGAUUCAGUAACAUAAGAAAAUGUCACAAAGGGAGCACAUUUCAAAAAAUUAAUAGCUAUGAUUUUGUAAAAUAUUUUACAGCCUGAAUAUUUGUUUUUCUUAAUUAAAGAAAAUACACAGGGCCCUCACAUCAGCUCACUCCUCUCUUUUGAGAGAAAGGACCAUGACACUGUUACCCCACAGAGUGACCUGAGAGACUUAACCAGACAUAAUACUUGACAUUUGUACAUUAUCCAGUUUUUACCAUGUAAAGGGCAACAGAAUUUAUGACCAAUGAGAAAUUUGUAGUCUCAACUGAGUGCAAAAUUUGGAAAGUAUUAGGCAGACAGUGAGACCUCUAUUAUUAUUAUAAUAGAAAUGCUGAUUAAAGAUAUACUUUCUUUAACAGAUGUUAAAAUGCCAAUUCCCAAGCGAUAUGAGGUAAUAUAUAUUUCAAGCACCAAUUAAGUGACAUAUUUUCUAAGAUUUCAAAAUUCUUUUAAGCAAUGUAUCCUUUUUGUAGCCCUAUAAUAAAUAAAUAAAAUAUAAAUUUC